AUUGAACGCUGGCGGCAGGCCUAACACAUGCAAGUCGAGCGGAUGAAGGUAGCUUGCUCCUGGAUUCAGCGGCGGACGGGUUAGUAAUGCCCAGGAAUCUGCCUGGUAGUGGGGGAUAACGUCCGGAAACGGGCGCUAAUACCGCAUACGUCCUGAGGGAGAAAGUGGGGGAUCUUCGUACCUCACGCUAUCAGAUGAUCCUAGGUCGGAUUAGCUAGUUGGUGGGGUAAAGGCCUACCAAGGCGACGAUCCGUAACUGGUCUGAGAGGAUGAUCAGUCACACUGGAACUGAGACACGGUCCAGACUACUACGGGAGGCAGCAGUGGGGAAUAUUGGACAAUGGGCGAAAGAAUGAUACAGCAAUGCCGCGUGUGUGAAGAAGGUAUUAGGAUUGUAAAGCACUUUAAGUUGGGAGGAAGGGAAGUAAGUUAAUACCUUGCUGUUUUGACGGUACAAACAGAAUAAGCACCGGCUAACUUCGUG
rnacentral:rRNA from 1 species